rnacentral:rRNA from 1 species
AUCGAACGCUGGCGGCAGGCCUAACACAUGCAAGUCGAACGAGCGGCGGACGGGUGAGUAAUGUCUGGGAAACUGCCUGAUGGAGGGGGAUAACUACUGGAAACGGUAGCUAAUACCGCAUACCAUCAGAUGUGCCCAGGUGGGAUUAGCUGGUAGGUGGGGUAACGGCCCACCUAGGCGACGAUCCCUAGCUGGUCUGAGAGGAUGACCGGCCACCCUAGAACGUAGACACGGUCCAGACUCCGACGGGAGGCAGCAGGGGGGAAUAUUGAACAAUGGGCGCAAGCCUGAUGCAGCCAUGCCGCGUGUGUGAAGAAGGCCUUCGGAUUGUAAAGCACUUUCAGCGGGGAGGCGUUACCCGCAGAAGAAGCACCGGCUAACUCCGUGCCAGCCGCCGCGGUAAUAC